ACAUCGCUGGUUCACUGGUAGAGUGCUCGACUGCUACGCGGGCGGCCCGGGCUCGAUUACCGGUUGAUGCA